GGAUUUCAAUGCUUCAAAUGCCAAGGGUGGAGGCACAAGGCUAGUGUGUGCCCAAACCGGAGGAACAUGAUCCUAAGGGAGGGAAAAUUGUACUAUCUUGGGGAAGAAGUAGUAAUUGAAUCGGCUAAGGUUGAUGGCAAGCCUCAAGCCUCAAGAUGGAGAGCAAGAAGAGGUUAAAAUGCAAGCGAGGAAGAUGUAGAAGAUGUGUGGCCGUGUGAAGGAGAUUGUGAAAUGCCAUUGUAAAAGAGAUGAGGCUGUGAAUUUGUGGGCUAAUUCCCCUCAAGAUGGAGUGGAUGAUACGAGUACGAUCAUGACCGUGGACACUCUUUGAGUAUUUUGAAGAUUACCUAAAAGGGUGCACAAGCCCAAGUAUGAAGAAGGCCCAAACCCACCCCCUAAAGUGCACUCAAUGGGCGGGUUGGAGCCCAUUAAUGAAAGGGCCCUUUAGUCUUUUGUCUCUUAUUUUGUAAUGUAAUAUAAAUAGAACAUUAUAGGGUUUCUAGUUCUUUAGUUGAUUAGUAUUAUUGAAAGAACACUUCUCUGAGAGAGAGAGAGUCCAACCGAAACUAGGGCAUUGCGCAAGUGUGGAAUCCUUUGUGUGUUGCAUUUUGCUUGAUACGUUGGUGCUUGGGUGGUGGACGUCUCUCGUGUGAAUUGUAAGAGAUAUUGAUAGUUGUGUGUAGUGUUAAGGGUUCAAGAGUGGAAUAAGCUCUUGGGUUCUUAGGAUUAUACCAUCGAUGUGUCUAUCUUUCUACCUUUAUUUUGUUGUAACUGUUGGUAGUGUCUUGUAUUGUAACCCGUAUUGUUCUUGUUGUUAUAAUGUUGUUGUUCUUCAUCCUAUUAUUGUUAAUAUAGUUUGGGAUUGUUGGCUGCCAAUAGGUGUUAACACCUUAUUCUCUUGUGUUCUUGUCGUUGUUCUUGAAUCAGAUUAUGGUCAUCAAAGAGGUCCAUGGUUUCUUGACUUGUGGAUUGUUUUGGUGUGUGGUUUUUAUGUCUUCCUUGGUCAUUUUUGUCUUAUUUGGUAUCAGAGCAAGGUUUGAUUUUGUUCCAACACAAUCAAUCUUGGGAUUGUUAUCUUGAAAAUAAAAAACAAAGUGAAAAAGAAGAAAAUUUGAAAAAAAGUUACUGUUCACGUUUUUAGGGUCUUUCAAAAUACUUGAUUUUUGUGUGUUUUGUGUGUUUCUAGUGUUAGAUCUUUGUUCCCUAACACUAUUAGAGUCUAGAAAUUGAAAAUCCUAACAAAAAAGAAGUGUCAAAAUCGAAAAUCCCCUAAAAAAAUACUAAAUCCAUUUUUGACCCUAGGUCAAAUUUUGAGUUUUUGAUUUUGUGUUUUUCUUGUGUGUUUUAGUGUUAGAUUUGUGUUCUAUAACACUAUAGGAGUAUAGGGUUCGAAUUUGAGCUAAAUUGGAGGUUAUUUGAGCCAUCCACCAUUAUUGAGCUUGAGUUUGAAGAAACUUGAAGGUGGGAGGUUGUUUUGAACUAACUGUGUUUUGUUUUGUAGGAUUUGUAUUGUGUUGUAUUGUUGUGUGUGACGUUGUGGACUGAUUAAGUGUCUUGUUGGACCGUAACUUGAAGGGUUAUUUUCGGGACAACCACUAUGGAACCCGAGGCUUCAAAUGCUCAAACAAUGGACCAUCAAUUUCAUUUUGGCUCGCCUUGAAACUAUGUUCUAAGAUGUGGCUAGGUUGAAUGUGGGUCUUGAGAAAUUAGAUACGGAUGUGGCAUCAAUGAGUGAGAGAUUAGAACGUGUGGAAAGCUAAAGGAGUCGACCUUCCACCCCUCAAAACAAUUCCCCUACUAAUACUCCUGAGACCUUGCACCAAAUGCUAUAUCCACCAAUUGCCACAAAUCCAACCAAUCUUUACUCCCGAAGUUGAGAACAAGAUAGACCAAACCAUCCUCCACUCCACCAAGUCCAACAAAAAGGGCUUGGAACCCAAAUUCCACUACCAAACCCGAACCCUCUCAUCCAGACUCCACUCCACUUGACCAAAGACCUCACUAUCCAAAUACAAUCCUGCCACUACAAACUCCACUUAACCCAAAUAGACCCAUCUAUAUUGAGGGCUAUGGUAUGGGAGGACAACAUGAUGGUUAUGGACCGUCUUAUGAUGUUUACUUGAGGGAAGAAAGAAUGAGGGGUAGACUUGGGGAGUUAGGUUGAGAGGUGAGAGAAGGCCAUCCAAACCGAGAUGUAGGUCUCAAUUCCAUCAAAGUGAGCCUUCCCGUUUUCAAAGGUGAGAGUGAUCCCGAAGCCUACCUUGCAUGGGAGUCGUCUUGUGAAGAGAUCUUCCAACUUAAUGAUCUCACCGAAGAAAAGAAAAGUUGCUAUGCUAUAGCUCACUUCGAAAGGUAUGCUAAACAUGGUGGGAAUAUGUUAAACGGUUUGGGAAUGAGAUGAUUGGGGGACAACCUCCUCCUUGGUUUCGGUUGAAGAACCUUAUGCGGCAAAUAUAUUUGCCCAAGACUUAUAGACAUCAACUUCUUGCCAAAUUGUACAAUUUGAGGCAAGGGAGCAAGCGUGUCAUGGCUUACUACGACGAAUUUCAACAAUUGAUGUUGAAACUAGAUCAUCGGGGAGAAUAAGUGAGUCAUGAAAUCGUGCGCUUCAAAGUCGGGUUGAACAAGGACAUCUUCACUAGCAUGAUGCUUCAUAUGUUCGACACCAUUGAUGGCAUCUUCCAUACGGCAUUGGAGGUUGAAAGGGAGCUUAAAGAGAGCUCAUUCAUGGUUGUCCAAACCGAGAGCACCAUGGUUGCCUCAAAACAUUCCACUAGGUAUGAAGGUAAACCAAUUUCCACUUUCCAUUCCAAGGGAUUUCAAUGCUUCAAAUGCCAAGGGUGGAGGCACAAGGCAUUGAGUGGCCAAACUAGAGGAACGUGAUCCUAAGGGAGGGAAAAUUGUACUAUCUUGGGGAAGAAGUAGUAAUUGAAUCGGCUAAGGUUGAUGGCAAGCCUCAAGAUGGAGAGCAAAAAGAGGUUAAAAUGCAAGGCGAGGAAGAUGUAGAAGAUGUGUGGCUGUGUGAAGGAGAUUGUGAAGUGCC
rnacentral:lncRNA from 1 species